UGCAGCAAUUCAUCACGGUCAGAAAAGAAGACGCAGGCGAGUACUUCUGUCGAGCGAAGAACGAUGCGGGAUACGCUGAGUGUCCGCCGCAGCAGAUGGAAGUCUAUGACAUUGAUGUUUUGGGCAUUUUAAUGGGCGUGCUGGUGGUGGUCAUCGUGCUCAUGAGUAUAACAGCGGGGAUCUGCUGUGCAUACAAGCGAGGAUACUUCUCCACCCAGAAACAGACGGGGAACAACUACAAGGUUCCAGCUAAAGGAGACGGAGUGGACUACGUCAGGACGGAGGACGAGGUUUGUGGACGGCAGUUAGAUUGAGA